CCACAAUCUGCAGAAUAGCAUAAUGUCAUCAUCAGGUGCUCAGCAUUGACUCUGACCUGUAGUACCCCCGGUCCUGCAGCUGACAGCUCAGCUGAACCCCCCCUCCCCCUCAUCACUUUAUUACCAUUUCAGCUUUUUGGCCUCAUUUGAUUGGCCCUGGCUUCAGCCUCCUCUGAUUGGUCCUGGCUUCUCUGACUUAGCAGCCCAGCCCAGCAAAUCAAUAGACUGCACUCAAGAGCAUAAAGAUGAAUUGUCAAAGCCCAGGCCCCUGCAAGGGGAGAAAAAAAAAAUAACAUAGAGACUGCAUCUGGAAGGACAACUAAGAAAGCCUUUUCUGUUCUGACAGAAGCCUUCUGGACUCGCUAUAUGUUCUGCAUGAUUGCAGCCAGAAAUUCAGUUGGCUGGCUCCAUGGAAGGUGCUCUUCCUGCUUCCUGGUCUCAGGCAGCUGCUGUGUGGUAGCUCUCUGCAUUCUCCUCCCUGUGUCUAAUGGCUGUUUUAAAGACCUAUCCAUCUGGAGGCUCCUUCAAGUCCUGCCAGAUGGAAUGUAGCCUUCCAUAAAUUCAAGGACUCCAUGUAAUCAUCUUUGGAACAAAACAUGCUUGGAAUUAGUUUUUGGAAUUGCCUUCACAGCCAACUUGCGCUCUACAUGAGACAAUCUCACUGCUUUAUAGUCAUCGCUUGUUUUUGUGCCCUAGACUGACCAUCUACCUUAGGUACUAGAUUUUGCUUUGAGUGAUAUUUUCUAUUUCCAGAAACCAAAUAUGCUUUCAUGGGAUGAUUUUGUACCACUGAAUAUGUAUUGAAAAUGGUUUGCCAUGGGUUUUGAAGGAAGUUUCAAAGAAAGAGUUCUGUAAAUGUUUUGAGUAUUGGAAUCAUAUGAUUGUGGACUUAGAAGCUGGACUGAGAAGGUCAUUUAGACCAACACCCUUCUUCAACAGUGAGGAGACAGGCCCAGAGAAA
rnacentral:lncRNA from 1 species